AGCAGUCGCCGCGGUAAUACGAAGGGUGCAAGCGUUAAUCGGAAUUACUGGGCGUAAAGCGUGCGUAGGCGGUGAGUUAAGUCUGCUGUGAAAUCCCCGGGCUCAACCUGGGAAUGGCAGUGGAUACUGGCUCGCUAGAGUGUGUCAGAGGAUGGUGGAAUUCCCGGUGUAGCGGUGAAAUGCGUAGAGAUCGGGAGGAACAUCAGUGGCGAAGGCGGCCAUCUGGGACAACACUGACGCUGAGGCACGAAAGCGUGGGGAGCAAACAGGAUUAGAUACCCGAUAGUCCCUGUCUCUUAUACC
rnacentral:rRNA from 1 species